UCUGUUUGAAAUUAAAUAACAUGUAACAAUAAUAAACAACAAUUUCAUGUCAGAUUUUAGUUCUAAAAUGUAUCAAACCAAACACACAAGUCCAAUUGCAUUUAUAGUAUGACAAAAAUUAACUCUAAUGCCUAUCUACUAUGUAAUCUCUGUUCCUGGGUAGCUAGCUUAACUAUAUUAGACAAUUCUUACUCUAAACUUAAUCUGUACUCUACUCUUUGAUUAUGAACUAACUACUAUAUGUUAAUAAUUUGUUUCACUGUAUAAUUUCAGAACAGCAAAAGUUACCAGCUUCAAAUACCUUGUUGCAGCUCAACUCUGCAUCCUGAAAUAUUUAAUCUGGGCAAAUACAUUGAGAUUCUGAUUUGUGUUAACAACAAUGAGCUGACAACAUCCUCUCCCAACACAUUAACAACUUUGAGACAGUAACGCCUCUCCCCCAAAUGUGCAGAUCUAUAUAGAAAAACAAAUAAAAUGAGCCUGCCAACCUUUAGUUUAUGAAUCAUCAUUAGUAUCCAAUCGAGUUUCAAAUGAGGUAAAAUACUACAAAAUCGCUGAUGCAGAGUAACAAGAUUACAUUGUGAAUAAAAACACCUACAGAAGACUAAGAAGAUAUAGGCUGCCCUUGUUCCAUCAAACCUACUUGAAAGGUGUAUAUGUAGUCACAUGACUUAUUAUGCUUUACUAUUUUGAAUCCAUUGUAAAUCCUGCACUAUCUUGUGACUAAAAAAACAGAGAAUGAAGAUCCUAGUACUUCAAGUCUUCGCCUACACGUCGCUGUGAGAUUCUAGACUCUGUUCUUAAGCUUUAAAUACAUAGAGUAUGUAUCAUCCAGCAAUUAUGAAGCAAAUUGUGAAGCUGUCAGUAAGACGCAGAAAAUGAUGGCCACGUUUGCCCCUUCAAACCCUGUUUGAAAAACAAAUUUACUUGCAUGUUUCAUCAGGCUUUCCUUCUACUAGCUGCUUGUAAUGUCUGCACUUCAUUUGACUGAAAAACUUAGUAAAUGACUACAGAUUCCUGACAACAAGCCCCUGCGGUUGUUUCUACAUGUUUCCUGAACAAAAUCUUUUUGAAAUGAAAUCCUAUUGAUGCAGACAAACGCCUUUUAACCUAGAGUCUUUGACAAGACGGAGUAGUCGCCGCGACGGAAAUGAAGAUAAAUAGAUUACAUUAUUUCUAGAAGAGAAAUUAGCAACACAAAUACUAUUUAUGACCCCAAUAUGUCAAAUGAAAGCCAUAACUCCGAGCGUCCUACACACCUGUCAAGAUGACUUGAGUAAACUAGGAAAGGUAAAACUAAAAUGAAAUGAGCCUAUAAAGAACACAGAAGAUAGCAUGGCAUCGUGCGAGUUCGUGCAGACACCCUGCAUCCUUGAAGUGUCCUGGAACCCAACAUCAUGUAUUAUGUUGUCAAGCAAAAAGAAAGUCUGCAAUCUCUCCUGUUCUCUAGUCUAAUGAACCUGAGGUCUGCUGUCCGAUACCAUAACAAAUCAUCAAACUACAAGCUGUUUAAGAAGAUUUCACUAAUUAUGCUAUGCAUUUGACUCCAUGUGUAAUAUACAUGUAAUAUGUGACAGAAAUUUGUUACUUGGUCAAUAAUAAAGGAAAUAUUCCGCUUUAUUUCAA